rnacentral:rRNA from 1 species
AUGAACGCUGGCGGCGUGCCUAAUACAUGCAAGUCGAGCGAACGGACGAGAAGCUUGCUUCUCUGAUGUUAGCGGCGGACGGGUGAGUAACACGUGGAUAACCUACCUAUAAGACUGGGAUAACUUCGGGAAACUGGAGCUAAUACCGGAUGAUAUUUUGAACCGCAUGGUUCAAAAGUGAAAGACGGUCUUGCUGUCACUUAUAGAUGGAUCCGCGCUGCAUUAGCUAGUUGGUAAGGUAACGGCUUACCAAGGCAACGAUGCAUAGCCGACCUGAGAGGGUGAUCGGCCACACUGGAACUGAGACACGGUCCAGACUCCUACGGGAGGCAGCAGUAGGGAAUCUUCCGCAAUGGGCGAAAGCCUGACGGAGCAACGCCGCGUGAGUGAUGAAGGUCUUCGGAUCGUAAAACUCUGUUAUUAGGGAAGAACAUAUGUGUAAGUAACUGUGCACAUCUUGACGGUACCUAAUCAGAAAGCCACGGCUAACUACGUG